rnacentral:rRNA from 1 species
AUUGAACGCUGGCGGCAUGCCUUACACAUGCAAGUCGAACGGUAACAGGUCUUCGGAUGCUGACGAGUGGCGAACGGGUGAGUAAUACAUCGGAACGUGCCUAGUAGUGGGGGAUAACUACUCGAAAGAGUGGCUAAUACCGCAUGAGAUCUACGGAUGAAAGCAGGGGAUCGCAAGACCUUGUGCUACUAGAGCGGCCGAUGGCAGAUUAGGUAGUUGGUGGGAUAAAAGCUUACCAAGCCGACGAUCUGUAGCUGGUCUGAGAGGACGAUUAGCCAAGCUGGGACUGAGACACGGCCCAGACUCCUACGGGAGGCAGCAGUGGGGAAUUUUGGACAAUGGGCGAAAGCCUGAUCCAGCAAUGCCGCGUGCAGGAUGAAGGCCUUCGGGUUGUAAACUGCUUUUGUACGGAACGAAAAGCCCCGGGUUAAUACCCUGGGGUCAUGACGGUACCGUAAGAAUAAGCACCGGCUAACUACGUGCCAGCCGCCGCCGUAA